UUUUAUGGAGAGUUUGAUCCUGGCUCAGGAUGAACGCUGGCGGCGUGCCUAAUACAUGCAAGUCGAGCGAACGGACGAGAAGCUUGCUUCUCUGAUGUUAGCGGCGGACGGGUGAGUAACACGUGGAUAACCUACCUAUAAGACUGGGAUAACUUCGGGAAACCGGAGCUAAUACCGGAUAAUAUUUUGAACCGCAUGGUUCAAAAGUGAAAGACGGUCUUGCUGUCACUUAUAGAUGGAUCCGCGCUGCAUUAGCUAGUUGGUAAGGUAACGGCUUACCAAGGCAACGAUGCAUAGCCGACCUGAGAGGGUGAUCGGCCACACUGGAACUGAGACACGGUCCAGACUCCUACGGGAGGCAGCAGUAGGGAAUCUUCC
rnacentral:rRNA from 1 species